AGCGAACGCUGGCGGCAGGCCUAACACAUGCAAGUCGAACGAACCUUUCGGGGUUAGUGGCGGACGGGUGAGUAACACGUGGGAACGUGCCUUUAGGCUCGGAAUAACUCAGGGAAACUUGUGCUAAUACCGAAUGUGUCCUUCGGGGGAAAGAUUUAUCGCCUUUAGAGCGGCCCGCGUCUGAUUAGCUAGUUGGUUGAGGUAAUGGCUCACCAAGGCGACGAUCAGUAGCUGGUCUGAGAGGAUGAUCAGCCACAUUGGGACUGAGACACGGCCCAAACUCCUACGGGAAGCAGCAGUGGGGAAUCUUGCGCAAUGGGCGAGAGCCUGACGCAGCCAUGCCGCGUGAAUGAUGAAGGUCUUAGGAUUGUAAAAUUCUUUCACCGGGGACGAUAAUGACGGUACCCGGAGAAGAAGCCCCGGCUAACUUCGUG
rnacentral:rRNA from 1 species